UGUAGCGGUGAAAUGCGUAGAUAUCGGGAGGAACGCCGACGGCGAAAGCGGCUCUCUGGCGUGCUACUGACCCUCAUGGACGAAAGCGUGGGUAGCGAACAGGAUUAGAUACCCUGGUAGUCCACGCUGUAAACGGUGCGCACUCGGUGUGGGCGGUUCUUUCGGUUCCGUCCGUGCCCAAGCCAACGCGUUAAGUGCGCCGCCUGGGGACUACGGCCGCAAGGCUAAAACUCAAAGGAAUUGACGGGGGCCCACACAAGCGGUGGAGCAUGUGGCUUAAUUCGAGGCAACGCGAAGAACCUUACCUGGGCUUGACAUGUACAUGCCGGCCGUGGAAACACGGCUUUCCAGCUUGCUGGACGUGUACACAGGUGCUGCAUGGCUGUCGUCAGCUCGUGCCGUGAGGUGUUCGGUUAAGUCCGGCAACGAGCGCAACCCGUGUCGCCAGUUACCAUCGGGUAAAGCCGGGGACUCUGGCGAGACUGCCCGUGUCAAGCGGGAGGAAGGCGCGGAUGACGUCAAGUCCGUAUGGCCCUUACGUCCAGGGCUGCACACGUGCUACAAUGGGCGGCACAAUGGGAAGCAAAACCGCGAGGUGGAGCCAAUCCCCAAAACCGUCCUCAGUUCGGAUUGGAGUCUGCAAUUCGACUCCAUGAAGCCGGAAUCGCUAGUAAAGGCGCAUCAGCAACGGCGCCUUGAAUACGU
rnacentral:rRNA from 1 species